CUUUCCAUUCUGAAUUUCCAACAAAACGUCUACAAAGUCUUUAGCUUCACCCGUGCUGUCUUCUCCUUUGUUUUUCCUACUAACGUGUUCUUCAAUCACACUCUCCAAAAAUGUAUCCAACUCUUUAGCUACUUUCUCCACUUUGUUGGCCAAACCGUUGAUUUUACUGAUCCAUUCAAGCCAUGGAAUGUAAUCCCCAAUGCUAAAAGUACCCAAAAGUUCACCAAAUUCAUGUAGAGUGACCUUAGCAUUCAUUCCUCCUUGUCCUUCUUCAUUAUAUUUCCUCCCUAAGGCCACUCUGCUAACUAUGUUAUUGGUGAGAGAACUUAAACAAUCUCUUAAAUCUAUCACUGAACUCGAAGAAUUAGACUCACACUCUUGUCUGAUUUUUACAAUCAUAUUCGAUGUCUCUUCUUCUCUGAUAUCACGAUAAGAUUGGACUCUUUUGUUGCUGAGAAGGUGAAGCACGGUGACACUUUUAAUUUGUCUCCAGUAUUCACCAUAGGGACUAAAGGCCACAUCCUUAGAGCCAUAAAAGAGUCUAUCAGCGAUGCUAGAUUUAGGUCUAUUUGACCAAACGAGAUCGUGUGUUUUCAUGAUAUUGCGAGCAGCAUCUACAGAGGAAGCAACAAUCACUGGCUUACUGCCAAAGUGCAGUAGCAUGACAGGGCCAUAUUUUUUUGAUAGUUGAUGGAGAGAACGAUGAGGAAGCGAUCCAAGUUGAUGGAGAUUGCCUAUGAUUGGAAGCUUUGUUGGAGAUGGUGGUAACUUAUUUGAAGUAGAAAAGAAGCAUUUAUGAAGGAAGAAAAACAGAGGAAUUAGAAGAGCAUACCAGAUAAGAUCCAUUGUUACUUUGGUUUUUGUCAACUAGGAAAUGUAGAAUUGAGUGUAUAAAUGGAAACAACUAGUAUAAAAUAUCUCCUCAUUUUUAAUUUGGGUAUAACGUUAGAGGAUAAGCUUCACCACACAAACUAAAGGAGGCUAUUGAUUUUCAUGCUUGACUAGUACUCCAACUUUUAACACAAAUUUUUGUAUAGUUCACACAAAGAUAACCAUUCGAUCUUUAACCACAAAUUUCAUUUGCAUAGGAUGCAAUUAAGUUCACUACAUCUUCUAUUUUGUCCUCUCCUUUUUAUACUACAAAAUAUUUAAUUACUUUCUGAUAAGUUCUUAUGUUCCUUGAUGUUUUGAUGAUCUCCUCACAAGUGCAGGGACCUGGUCCUCUGCAGAGUAUGAAUACUCGUCCAGUGGUCAAAGUGUUGUCCAGCUGUCUGCGUCAGAAAGUUGGUGAGUUGCAGAGUACUCCACCAAUCAAAAGCAAUGAGGUUACUUGUACGUUUGGCAGUAUUUCUUCAUGACAUAUAUCAAACAACAAACAACACUUCGAUCUCAUUCAUUCAAAGAGAGAUAUUUCAAGCUUCAAGAACAGCAGGGACUUGAUCGAUUACUUCAAGUGCUUCCUGUAUCGGCUGAUACUUUGUUUGCUUGUAAUAGUGCUUAUAUUGUAGGAUUCGUUUCGUUGUGAUAAGAAACGUUUCAACUUGUGUGAAUCAUUGUGAGUUCUGAGUUAGAGUUAACUUGGUUCUGACUCCAAAACCUAUAUUAAUCAGGAUAGGAUUAGUAUAGUGGGUAGUGUGGUAUCUACUUUAGCUCGUCUAAGUAAUAGGAGGUGUUACUUAGAGUUGGGAUUAGCAGGCUAAUCUCGGUUUGUAACUGGCUUUUACUUUUGCUUAGAGAAGAUUAGUGAAAAGCAGUUCUAAAAGUCCUGGCAGGCCAGAUCGUGGUUUUUACUCCCUUGAGCAAGGAAGUUUCCACGUAAACUCUCUUGUCGAUCUUUACUUUUCAGCACUUGUUUCUUUACUGUUUUAGUUUCAACUGUGCUGAGGACCUGGUCCCAUUGAUAUUAGUGGACGCAUACAUUCCAUCACUUUCAAAACAUCAAAUGAGGUCAUUGAAAAUAUAUAACAAAGUCACUAGAUCACCCCUGUUUAUACUUGGGUUAUUUAACAACAAAUGACUAUGAUCACCCCUAUUUAUACUUGUGUAAGGAUAUUUCUAGAAAUUAUUCUAGAUAGAUCUAAAAGAGAUCUAGAUGACCUUAUCUUAUAACUACAUGAAUCUAGACUAUCUUAUAAUUUACUAUAAAUAUCUAGAACAUAUACACAAUUCUUAAAUACAUCAGUCUACAUAACUCUAGAAAGUUCUACUAAAUAUCUAGAAUUAUUUGUACCUCCAAAAAAUCAUUUUUAUUUUUCACAAGGGGGACACGUCAAAAUACCGGGCUUCUUUUUCCUCUUCGUUUGCUAUAUUCAGUAAUAUCCCAAUUCCCAACUAAAUUUUAGUUGUGUUGUAUUUGAAUCAUAAAUACUAGUUUAGGAGACUAUGGAAUUGAAUCAUGAAUGGUGUCACUGAUCAUCCGGAAUUCUCAUGAGAUGGAUGAAUCCCAUGUUUCCACAACCUAGAUAUUCUUUAGAGGAUGCAGAGCAUGUUUCUCUCUAGAAGAUACAGUAGGCGUUUCUCUCUUGUAAAUCCUAGUCGUCAACCAUGCAAGCUAAUUAACACCCCUGUGGGUGAACCUGAUUCAAUAGAUAUUUCCAACAAGUUGGAUAGUCAAUUAUCAAACAGCAAGAUGCAUGGAUUAUUGGCGUAGCAGAAAACUGAAAAGUAACACAUUUUGGUCCUUACAUGCUUCAAGUCUUUGGCAUAUUUUUUUAAUGUAAUAUGCGUUUUGAUUUCACGAUCACUCAACUAACUAAUACUAAUAGAAUUGUUAGAAGAAAAGUCAAUUAUCUUAAUUAUACUAUAAUAGAAAAAUAAUUUUAUUUUUGUCAUCCAACACUCAAAGUCACUCACUACACUUAGGUGACUAUUCCAGCCACUUAAACUACUCUACAAUUUUUUGUCACUCUUGAUGUCAAAUGAAGUUAUUUCAAGUUAGGCGCAACGGAUAUCGCUGUUCGUGUACCACUCUGGAGUCUGGACAGGGACGGAUUUACUAGGCAAAAGAAAACAUAGCAGAUACUACCUCCGUUCAUUUUUAAUUAUCAUGGAUUUUUUUAGAGUCAAACGAUAAGUAUUUUAAUUACUUAACAUUUUAUAAUAUAUUUUUUCAUCAUAUUGAUAUGCAAAAAAACUGCAAUUUAUAGUAUUUUUCAUAUAGCUUUUUGAAUAUCUAAAUUUUUUGUUUAAAAUAUCGAAUUAAUGUAAUCUAAUUUCACUUGAAAAUUACUCAGAAUAGCACAACAUGACAAUUAAAAGUGAACGAAGGGAGUAUAUUUUAAAAAGUAACACUACAGGACACAAAGUUUGCACAACUUAGUUGGUUAAUUAGGCUCUUCAAAUUCACAGCCUAAAUAGCAAAUUCGAAUCUUUUAGACGUUAUUUUGAUACAUUUUUUGGUUCUCCAUUUUGAAUACAUUAAAAAAAAACUCAUAAAGAAAAUGUUAUAAUAUUUUUUAUUUUUUAAAAGAGUAAAAUAAUACUCUAUAUGUGAAUUAUGUUUUGCUUUUAUAUUUUUUUAAUUGUUUCACAUUUAAAUAGGUGACUCCGCUUGGAGCGUGGUGAACUGGUGAUGUAUGGCAGUAGCAAAUGCAUGUACUCUGAUCAGUUGUUUUGUUUAAUUUAUUGAAAUGUGAUGAGUGAUUUUGGCUUCAAAUUAUAUUGACACGUUUGCUAACUGGCCGGAAUAUCAUCUAAAUUUUGUGCGUGAAAUGAAAAAAUAAAAUUGAGUGAAUAUUCUAUUAUAAACUAAAGAAAAGUCUGUUUCAUUCAACAAUUUCUAUUAACUUUGUUAUUUGGUAUAUGCAGAACAUGUUAAAAUAAGAAACCUUGCAUAAAAAAACAUAAAAGAGAUGUUUAAAAACACCCAAAACGGAACUAUGGUUAUAUUUGGAAAGGAAUAAAUAUAUAUUACUCUCUCUGUUUCAUUUUAUGUGAGGUAGUUUGACUCGGUACGGAGUUUAAGAAAAAAAAAAGACUUUUAAAACUUGUGGUCCAAAAUAAAUGAUAGAAAUUUGUGUCGCUGUAAAUCAUUUCAUUAAGGGUAAAAUAGACAUUUUAUAGUUAAAUUGUUACUUAAUAUAGAAAUGUGUUAUUCUGUUUUAGACUGACUAAAAAUGAAAGUAAGUCACAUAAUUGGGAUAGAGGGAGUAGUAUUUUAAUUUAAUCUCAACUGGUAUCUAUGUCAUCCAACGCUAGAAUUUAGAUGUAUAUAAAUAAACAGUUAAUUUUGUAUAGAGUUGAAUAAGUUGACACAUUACGUCCUACGUGAUAUUCUUCAAUGUCUUAUGCCACAUAAAAUGUGUACGUCUCCUUUUACUCAUUUUUAUAGGGGAAUAGGGUAAAAAAUGCCCUUAAACUAUGUGAAAGGAACAAAAAUGCCCUCCAUUUAUAGUUUGGCUCAAAAAUGCCUUUACCGUCAAUACUUUGGUUCAAAAAUGCCCCCCCGUUUGUAAUUUGGUCCAAAAAUGCCCUUAUAGUUACAAAAUGGGUCAAAAAUGCCCUCCGAAUUUUUUAUUUUUUUUCUUUUUAAACACAUCUUCUUCCUAAUUAAAAUAUUAUUAAAGAGCAAUAUUCUUGUUUUCUUUCUUCUAAAAUCACUUAACAAAUAAAAAUGUAGGAAAUUUUUUGGAAUUUUUUUUUUCUUCUUCUUAAUCUUAUUUUAUCAAUUAAAAUGGAAUAAUUCCAUGUACUCUUUCGAUAGAUAAUAUAUGUCAUAUGUAUAAGAUCAUAGUAUAGCCAUCAUUAAUUUAUAUUUAUAUAACGAUAAAAAAAUAAUGAUAAUAAAAUAAGAAAUAUUAUCAUUUUUUUGUUAACCAAAGUAAGAUAAACAUUUGUUAAUUUAAAAAAUAUUAUUAGAAAAAGAAUAUGUUAAAAAGAAAAUAAUAAUAUAUUUAUUUGGAAAAUGAGCAUUUUUGACCCAUUAAAUAACAAUAAAAGCAUUUUUAGACCAAAGUGUUGACGUCAAGGGCAUUUUUGGACCAAACUACAAAUGGAAGGCAUUUUUGAUACUGAAUCUGUUAGUGAANNNNNNNNNNNNNNNNNNNNNNNNNNNNNNNNNNNNNNNNNNNNNNNNNNNNNNNNNNNNNNAUUUCUUAAGACAGAAUUUCAUGAAUGUUUUAUGGUUUUGAAUCUCUUUUGUUAUUUUGGAUUGUACUUUAGUUGCGUUUAUGGUUUUGAGUUCGUUGUUGGAUAUUGUCUUUAUUCUGUGAUUAUGCAUUUAUUUGGUUGCUUUUUUGGUUAAAUUUUGUGAUAAAUUUAUAGUGUGAGUUUGGUUUGUACAUGUAUGAGUUUGGUAUAAAUUUAGGUAUAAAUUGGGUUUUAUAAUUAUUGAAAAAUUAUACUAAAUGCUUGUAUAUGAUCGAUUGGAUUUCUUUCAAAGUUGCAGGUUGGUAUACAUACCAAUGUGUUUACCCCGUUUUGUGUUUUUUUCUUUCAUAUGUAAACCAAUUUUUUUUUUAACAGCGUGUUUUUUUUUUUAUGAUUUCAGUGUUAACCAAGAUUGUAGUCAUAAGCCAUUUAUUGAAAUAUCAAAAUAUUUUACCAAAAUUUUAACCAUUUAAUGAUCUUAAAAAAAAACAGUCAAAGAAAUACCAAAGUAUUUACCAAUAUUUUACCCAUUUAAUAAACUUAAAAAAAAACAGUCAAAAGAUUACAUACCCUUAAACCAAUUUUUAAAAUUUAGGAUUUUAUCAGGUUACUUAAAUAAAUGUAGGAACUAUUUUUCAUAUUAUUAUUUAUACCAAUUCACAUGCUUAAAAUACACUAAAAUAUGUACAAUAUUUUUAUUUAUGAGGUUCUAAUUAUAUACCAUAGAUCGUCAAACUUGUAGUUUUUUACACCACCAAUUACACCAAAUAAUUUAUUGCUGCAGUCAUUUUAAUAUACGUAUGUUCAUAUUUAAGAUUUAUUACUGCAGUCAUUUUAAUAUACGUAUGUUCAUAUGUAAGAUAAUAUACCAUCAUCAUUAUGACAUUUGGUUGUUAUAUAUACCAUCAUUUAUACCAAGUUUUGUACCAGUUGUAACCAAAGUAAACCAAUUUUACAGUAAUUGAGUGUUAAUUAUUGUAGCGUCCAAACUAAUAUACUAACAUCUAAUACUUUUCAAUUUAUUGUUUUAGGUUGGUGUAUACUCCAAACAUUUGUUUUACUAUAUACAUCAUUAUUAUGAUCCUUUAUUUUUACCAUAAAUUUGUGCCUAUUUACCAUAAUUUCACCAAGAAUUUGGCUUAUUUACCAUAUCAAAUCAACAGCAGAAUAUCAUCCAAUAAGUUCAUUUUUUAUCAAUAUUUCUGGAUAUGUGACAACACGUAAUCCAAAAGUGUUCAUGAUAUCUAUUAUAUACAACCAUUUUUAACAACUAUGAAUUCAAAAAUAUGAAUAAGAUAACUCAGAGAAAGGGAGUUUUAUUUUGGUAGGAAACCUCUAUUUAUGGGAGAUAAUAUAUAGCAUAUUUGAAUAAAUUAGAGAAGAUAAAUUAUUGGAGAAAUUUAUGGAAAUCGGGAUAAGCAUGGCUGAUUUGGAAUUUUUUUAUUUUUUUAAAAUUUAAAUUCUACUUUUGAAAAAAAAAGUAUUGCUAUAUAAUUGGAAAAAAAAAUAUUGCUAUGUUGGUGUAAAUACAGUUGUUAAGUUGUAUAGUUAAAAAAUCGGUCCGCCUAAAUAGCAAAUUCGAAUCUUUUAGACGUUAUUUUGAUACAUUUUUUGGUUCUCCAUUUUGAAUACAUUAAAAAAAAAAACUCAUAAAGAAAAUGUUAUAAUAUUUUUUAUUUUUUAAAAGAGUAAAAUAAUAUAUGUGAAUUAUGUUUUGCUUUUAUAUUUUUUUUAAUUGUUUCACAUUUAAAUAGGUGACUCCGCUUGGAGCGUGGUGAACUGGUGAUGUAUGGCAGUAGCAAAUGCAUGUACCUUGUGACUAGUUAGGCAGCUGAUCAGUUGUUUUGUUUAAUUUAUUGAAAUGUGAUGGGUGAUUUUGGCUUCAAAUUAUAUUGACACGUUUGCUAACUGGCCGGAAUAUCAUCUAAAUUUUGUGCGUGAAAUGAAAAAAAAAAAUUGAGUGAAUAUUCUAUUAUAAACUAAAGAAAAGUCUUUUUCAUUCAACAAUUUCUAUUAACUUUGUUAUUUGUUAUAUGCAGAACAUGUUAAAAUAUGAAACCUUGCAUACAAAAGCAUAAAAGAGAUGUUUAAAAACUCCCAAAACGGAACUAUGGUUAUAUUUGGAAAGAAAUAAAUAUAUAUUACUCUCUCUGUUUCAUUUUAUGUGAGGUAGUUUGACUAGGUACGGAGUUUAAGAAAAAAAAAAAAACUUUAAAACUUGUGGUCCAAAAUAAAUGAUAGAAAUUUGUGUCGCUGUAAAUCAUUUCAUUAAGGGUAAAAUAGACGUUUUAUAGUUAAAUUGUUACUUAAUAUAGAAAUAUGUUAUUCUUUUUUAGACUGACUAAAAAUGAAAGUAAGUCACAUAAUUGGGACAGAGGGAGUAAUAUUUUAAUUUAAUCUCAGCUGGUAUCUAUGUCAUCCAACGCUAGAAUUUAGAUGUAUAUAAAUAAACAGUUAAUUUUGUAUAGAGUUGAAUAAGUUGACACAUUACGUCCUACGUGAUAUUCUUCAAUGUCUUAUGCCACAUAAAAUGUGUAUGUCUCCUUUUACUCAUUUUUAUAGGGGAAUAGGGUCAAAAAUGCCCUUAAACUAUGUGAAAGGAACAAAAAUACCCUCCGUUUAUAGUUUGGCUCAAAAAUGCCUUUACCGUCAAUACUUUGGUUCAAAAAUGCCCCCGUUUGUAGUUUGGUCCAAAAAUGCCCUUAUAGUUACAAAAUGGGUCAAAAAUGCCCUCCGAAUAAAUUUUUUUUUUCUUUUUAAACACAUCUUCUUCCUAAUUAAAAUAUUAUUAAAGAACACUAUUCUUGUUUUCUUUCUUCUAAAAUCACUUUAACAAAUAAAAAUGUAGGAAUUUUUUUUUCUUCUUCUUAAUCUCAUUUUAUCAAUUAAAAUGGAAUAAUUUCAUGUACUCUUUCGAUAGAUAAUAUAUGUCAUAUGUAUAAGAUCAUAUUAUAUCCAUCAUUAAUUUAUAUUUAUAUAACGAUAAAAAAAUAAUGAUAAUAAAAUAAGAAAUAUUAUCAUUUUUUUUAACUGAAGUAAGAUAAACAUUUGUUAAUUUAAAAAAAUAUUAUUAGAAAAAGAAUAUGUUAAAAAAGAAAAUAAUAAUAUAUUUAUUUGGAAAAUGAGCAUUUUUGACCCAUUAAAUAACAAUAAAAGCAUUUUUAGACCAAAGUGUUGACGUCAAGGGCAUUUUUGGACCAAACUACAAAUGGAAGGCAUUUUUGUUUCUUUCGCAUAGUUUAAGGGGAUUUCUUAUCUAAAGUAUUGACGGAAAGGACAUUUUUGAGCCAAAAUAUAAACGGAGGGCAUAUUUAUUCCUCUCACAUAGUUUAAGAACAGUUUUUACCCUUUUCCCUUUUUAUAGUUUACCCACCAACUUGAAACAAACGUCAUUUUCAGAAAUUGCUGAAGAUGAUUUUAAUUUAGUAAAGCUUAACCACACAAACUAAAGGAGAAUUAUUUCAAACUAAACAAGAAGUUUCCUUUUACCCUUUAUAAAAAGAUUUAUAAUCAUAUAAAUAUUUAAGAUUUGUUUUAUACCAUAAAUUUUAAAAGUUUUCAUUUUUUAUAGACUUUGUGUCAAGUCAAAUAGAGUCACAUAAAUUGAGAUGGAGAAAAUAUGAAUUUAUUAAAAACAUAUUAUCACUGGAAAUUCUAUUGUUGCUAUAAAAUAUAAAUAAUCAAUUUUGUUUAAAGAAAAAUUAACACAUAAUUCACUACAUUUUUUUUUUGUCCUUUACUUUUUAUACUACAAAAAGUUUACUUUCAAAAACAUCAGAUGAGGUCAUUGAAAAUAGAUACCAAAAUCACAAGGAGAAAAGGGUCUAAAACAUAGUGAACUAAAUAUUCCAUUAGAUUUGUUGAAAAAUAAUAUUAAUAUCUUGAAAAUAUAAUUAUCUUUUUCGUUAACUUGCUACAUUUAAUUUGCCUUGAUGACAUUUAUUAUGACAAUUUUUGUAUGGUUGUCAGGCGUUCUCUUUUCGAAUAAUUGAACGUCUCAUAUUAUUUGCUAAUGAAAAAUAUCACGAGUAGGACCCAAAAAGAUAGUAGUACCAGAUAACAAACAAAAAAAUACAGUCUAAAAAUAAGUAUAGAAUAGCUUGAACUUUUGAGCCGUUGUAUAAAACACCCAGAAAGGGAGACAGGGGAGUCACUGGUCCACUUAUUACAUGUAGUAAAAUUAUUAGUUAUGUACUAGCAAUACUGGAAGUAUUAUUUCAUGGCAUAUAUUGGUGACUAAGAUAAGUGAUAAGCAUAAUAAAUAAUUUAUAAGUAGGUGGAUUCGAGUCAUCAAGGAGCUCCCGGGGAGGAAUGAAAAAACUCUUAAUAAUAACUAGAACAUGUAGUGGCCACUGCUAGCAUAGGUGAUAUCCUACGAAUAGUGAUGCCACUGCCUUCCGUCAUAACCAAAUCCUCCGGUUUUAACCCUUCUGGUAAUGCUAAAUUGAACUUGUGCACAAUCCUUGCUAAUGCUAGCUCAAUUACCACAAUAGCAAAACCAGUUCCUGGGCAGCCCCUUCUGCCUGCUCCAAACGGAAUCAACUCAAAGUUUAAUCCUUUCACAUCAAUAUUACUAUUUAAAAACCUCUCUGGUCGGUACUCCUCUGGAUUUUCCCAUGAUAAAGGAUCUCUUCCGAUUGACCAAGCAUUGAUAAUGACUCCAGUUUUAGCAGGAAUUUGAUAGCCAAGUAAUUUUAUGUCUUCUAUUGAUUCUCGAGGAACUAGUAGUGGAAUUGGUGGAUGAAGCCUGAGACUCUCUUUGAUCACUGCUUUCAGAUACUGCAUAUUUCCUAAGUCAUCCUCUGUUACCUCUGCUUUCCCUUGGGCUAAUCCUCUCACUUCAUUCUGUAAUUUUUCCAUGACUCAUGGAUACCUCAAAAGCUCUGUCAUUACCCACUCUAAAGCUGUAUACGUUGUAUCUGUACCACCAGAAAAUAUAUCCUACGCAUAAUAUUAAAAAAUAUAAGAUUGUUAUCCUGGAGAAUGUGUAAAUGAUUAUGUGGAAGAAUAACAAUAUUCUAAGUAACCAAAUAUUUAAUUAUGAAACAAUAUGUUAGUAAGUAGCAAGCAGGAAUUAUGUUCAAAAUUACAGUACUAAUAAAACACGCCAAGGAGGGGAUAAAUAGUGUGACAGAUGCUAAAUCUUACCAAGAUGAUAGCUUUCAAUGAAUCCCUUUGAAGAGGAAAGCCAGUUUCCUUUCCAUUCUGAACUUCCAGCAAAACAUCCACGAAAUCUUUAGCUUCACCCGUACUGUAUUCUCCUUUAUUGUUCUUAAUAAUGUGUUCUUCGAUCACACACUCUAAAAAUGUAUCCAAACUUUUAGCUACUUUCUCCACUUUGGUGUCUAGACCAGUUAAUUUAUUGACCCAUUCAAGCCGCGGAAUAUAAUCCCCAAUAUUAAAAGUGCCAAAAAGUUCAGCUAAUUCAUCUAGAGUGACCUUAGCAUUCAUUCCACUUUCUCCUUCAUCAUAUUUCCUCCCCAAGGCCACUCUGCUAAUUAUGUUACAAGUCAGAAAACAAAAAUGAUCUCUUAAAUCUAUCAUUGAACUCGAAGAACCACACUCUUGUCUGAUUUUGUCAAUCAUAUUCGAUGUUUCUUCUUGUCUUAUAUCACGAUAAGAUUGGACUCUUCUGUUGCUGAGAAGGUGAAGCACAACAAUGCUUUUAAUUUGUCUCCAGUAUUCACCAUAGGGACUAAAGCCCACGUCCCUAGAGCCAUAAAAGAGUCUAUCAGCCAAACUAGAUUUGGGUCUGCUUGAGCAUACGAGAUCAUGAGUUUUCAUGAUCUCACGAGCAGCUUCGACAGAGGAAGCAACGAGCACAGGCUUACUGCCUAAGUGAAGUAGCAUGAGAGGACCAUAUUUUUUGGAUAGUUUAUGGAGGGAACGGUGAGGAAGUGAUCCAAGUUGAUGGAGAUUUCCUAUGAUUGGAAGCUUUGUUGGAGAUGGUGGUAACUUUUUUUGAUUACUUGAAGUAGUAAAGAAGCAUUGAUGAAUGAAGAAAAACAGAGGAAUUACAAGAGAAUACCAAGGAAGAUCCAUUUUCCUUUUUUGGUGAUGAGAAAAUUGAUCAAAAUUCGGAAACAAGUACGCCCUACUUAUUGAUGAGUAUGCGUCCAAAGAAUCUUCAAUCACCACACAAACUAAAAUGGAAACAACAAGCACGGAUUAAUAUCUAGAAAUUAUCUAAUAAAAUCAUUGAAUUUUAUUUAUAUCUAAAAUUACUCAAUUUAAAGGUUUUAUCUUCAAAAGUUACUCAACUCAUUUAUCAUUAAAAUAUAUUUAAUAUAAAAAAAUAAAAUAUUUUUUUAUGUCAUGUAAUUAUGAACCCUAUAAAUAAAAAAAUAAAAUUAUAGAAUUUAUUUAUUAGUAUACCCUACUAACCCACAAAUUGGGUCAAGUGAAAUAAUAAAUAGAUUUUAUAAUUUUAUUUAUUUAUAAGGUUCAUGAUUUUGUUUUUGGACGAAUUUAUAACAUUAGACAGGUCUAAUGGUCUUUUAUUAAUAAUAAAAUAAAAUCAUCAAUGUGAAUAAGUACAAGCAAGGGGGGCUAGACCUUACCUUACAAAUCAUAAUGAGGUAACAAACAUUUAUUAAUUAACAAGAGUGAAGAAAAUAAGAGGAAGAGAAAACUAGGUAUUAUAUGAUCAUCAUAGAGUUUAUAAUACAGUUUAUGAUGAUAUUACAAAUGAGGAUGCUUAAAUAAGUAAUAAUAUAAACAUCAAGAAGAAGAUUGAGUUAUCAAACUCAAACUUCCUUUUAUAUAUGUAUGAACUAAAAAGAUAGUUUGCCCGUCUAAAAUAACCUGAAGUAUUUUUUGCUCGUCUUUUUCUUCAAAUCUAUCGAAUAGAACUUGAUAGUUCAUCACUUCCUCUUAGAUUUAUUGGAUCUUGUUGAAGUUGGUGACACUGUCAUAUAUUUAUGUUUGGCCAGUCGCAUCGGUAGGUGCCUUCCAUAUGUCUUCCUUUUGUUUUUAUUGCUUCCACUUCUUUGUAGUUUAGGUGAAAGAUCGCUAUCUCUAGCUACUCCCUUAGUCCCUUUUUAUAUGACAUCUCUUUCUAUAAAUAGUUGUACCACAAUACUUGUCAUUUUAUAAAAUUUAGGCAUAAAUUACCAUAUUUUUCCUAUUAUACUCUUGAUAGAGUAGUUAAUUAAUCUUGAAAAUGUAUUCAUCAUUUAUUAUAAAGUUGACUUAAAAAAACAUUAAAUAAAGGGUAGAAGGGUAAAGUUACAGCAUUUCUUAAUGGAAGUGCAAAGUAAAAAUGUGACAUAUAAAAAGGGACGGAUGGAGUACUUUAUCAAAGUAGGGUUCAUGAUUACAUGCAUAAAAAAUAUUUUAUUUUGUCAUGUCAAAUUAUUUUAAUGAUAAAUGCAGUUGAGUGAUUAUUAAAAUAAAACCUUUAAGUUAAAUGAAUUUAUUAAUAUAAAAUAAAGUACAAUGACUUUGUUAUAAUUUCUCAUAGUUCAAUGACCUUUUAAGAUAUUAACCUCAUGAAACACAACUAUUUGUUUAAUUAGGCAUGUUUAGAUAUAAUUUGAAAUAGAUUGAUUUAAAAUUAAAAUAUUGUUUUAACAUGCCAUUUUAAUUUUUCUCAAGUAUAUUUUUGCUAGUAAACAUGAAAAAACGCACAAUUUCUUUGAUAUCUUGAAUUGAUUGGCGAGGAAUUAAUGGUAUUGCUGGACCGAGAUUUUGUGAUCUCUUAAUCCUUCGCUCAUUGACUUUUGUGGAAAAUGAGACUUUUGUUACCAAAGUUGGUAAAUACUUUUAAAAUGAGUUUAAUGGAUUUACAUACAAAAAUCUCCAACUAAUUAGUGUUAGCCUACAAGCAAAUAAUACUGAGAAGGAAAUUAUUAAAAAGUCAACGAAAGAAGAAAAUGAAGAAAAAAAGCACAGGAAGUAGAAUGGAGGAGAGAAAUCUAGAAUUGGGUAUAUUUGAAAAGGCAUAAUACAUAUAGGUAGGGCUGGGCGUUCGGUCGGUUCGGUUUGUAUAUUUCGAUUCUGUUUUUUUGGUUUUCGGUUUGGCAAAAAUUUGAAAUCAAAUCAAAUUGAAAUAAAUUCAGUUCGAUUCGAUUUAUUUCAGUUUAACCAAAUUUAAUUAACAGUGGCAAAAAUUAAAGAAUGAUAAUUUAUUUAUACUUAUCAAGGAUGGAUAGUAGUCAUUAAUUUACCGUAAGCCUCAUUAGAAUCAAAUGCUUUGAUGUCCUCUACAUACAAAUGCACCGGAAAAUAGCCAUUACAGAUGUUAUAAGAUGAUAGACAUUAGACACUCUGACUCAACACUACUUCAUGAAUACUUAUUUAACACAAAUGUCAAAAGAGUUGCCUAUAAAUAACUUAAUUACAGAAAGACGCAGUACAUUACAGUUCACAAAUCACACAAAUAAUCACAUAGUUGCAUACUUGCAUUCAAUGACUAAAAAAGGACGCAAUACAUGUCUUUCAUAUUCUUUCCAUGGGUUUUCAUCAGAUUUUGCUCUUAAUGUGUAACUANNNNNNNNNNNNNNNNNNNNNNNNNNNNNNNNNNNNNNNNNNNNNNNNNNNNNNNNNNNNNNNNNNNNNNNNNNNNNNNNNNNNNNNNNNNNNNNNNNNNNNNNNNNNNNNNNNNNNNNNNNNNNNNNNNNNNNNNNNNNNNNNNNNNNNNNNNNNNNNNNNNNNNNNNNNNNNNNNNNNNNNNNNNNNNNNNNNNNNNNNNNNNNNNNNNNNNNNNNNNNNNNNNNNNNNNNNNNNNNNNNNNNNNNNNNNNNNNNNNNNNNNNNNNNNNNNNNNNNNNNNNNNNNNNNNNNNNNNNNNNNNNNNNNNNNNNNNNNNNNNNNNNNNNNNNNNNNNNNNNNNNNNNNNNNNNNNNNNNNNNNNNNNNNNNNNNNNNNNNNNNNNNNNNNNNNNNNNNNNNNNNNNNNNNNNNNNNNNNNNNNNNNNNNNNNNNNNNNNNNNNNNNNNNNNNNNNNNNNNNNNNNNNNNNNNNNNNNNNNNNNNNNNNNNNNNNNNNNNNNNNNNNNNNNNNNNNNNNNNNNNNNNNNNNNNNNNNNNNNNNNNNNNNNNNNNNNNNNNNNNNNNNNNNNNNNNNNNNNNNNNNNNNNNNUCUUAAUUCUCUCGUCUCUCAACCGAUUUGGGCGAUUCAAAAGGCAAAGUUGUGAGAUUUUUCGAGGACAACGUGUUGGUGAGCUCGGAUAGUGAUUUGGAGUCCCCGUUUGAGGUAAUUUUCGAAAAACACCUGCUGCCAGACCUCUUUUUGUAAGCUUGAUUUUGGAAAUUUUUGAGACUUGUUUUCUUAGCCAUUUUAGAUCCGAUUUUGGUGAUUUUUGAGGCUAUCUUGAGUGGUUUUUCGAGGAGAAUAUUGUGGUGUUGUCAGAUUUUACUGUAGACCGCUCGUUUUUAGUAAAUGCACUGCUGUCCCAUUUCUAAAUUUUGAGAAAAAUUGGGUUUUAGUUGCUUGUUGAUAUUGUGUUGUUCCCGAGCCCCGAAUUGUGUCCCAUUUUGGGACAUGAGCUGGGAAAACUGGUUAGGACCCACUUUUGAGGUUAAUUUCGAAAUUUUCUGCACGGGUCCCACGAUUCCUGUUUUGACUCCAAAAUUGACCCGUCUCCGUUUGUUGUGAUUUUGGUGUCUAAACGACUGUAAUAACGUUGUGAUCCUAUUUUUGAUAGCGGGGCAGCGUUUCGAGGACGUUCGGAAAGGGAAAGCUCCGGAGAAGUUAUUUUGGAGCUCGUGUGAUUGGCCUACAGGUAGGCUACGGUUUUCCUCUCUUAGAUUGAACUCGAAAAUGUGAAUGCAUGUUGAUUAGUUGGGAUUUGGGUUGGGUAGUUAUUGAAUCAUGCAUAGGUGAUUAGAAAUCAUGUUUUCGGCCUAUUUCGAGAAUUAUCGGGUAACUGUGAGCAUGCUUUGUGUUAUUAAUGGACCCUCCUCUCUAUGUGGAGUGCUUGCAUGCUUAAUUAUUAUUUAUUUGAAGCAUGUUGGGCCUUAGUUUAGGUUUGACUAGGGCUUGCCUUAGAAAUACAUGAUUCGGAUCCGAUAGGCCUUAGUUUUGCCCCGACGUCGCUCGGCCGGCUUAAAUCCCUGUAGACUGGUGUAGCAGACUUGAGUCUGAUAGUUUGGGCCUUAGUUAGGCGAUACUCUUUGUCCGACUAUAGUUAUCCUUAUUUUCCCCGAUGUUACGGCUUCACGAGUUACAUCAGCAACACUAGUUCUACUUCGCGAUUUGAAUUUGGUUCCAAGGACUUUCAUUGAUUGGCUAUGUGUGGACGGCGUUUCACGGACAUUUAUGAGUAUGGAUCGAUUGGGACUCUUUCAACAGCUACGUUGGCACCUUUAUAGAGCAUCCGGUUAGAGUUCCGGCCUCUAUUGCCCAGUUACUUAUAUAGAGCAUCGGUUUAGAGUUCCGGCCUCUAUUGCUCAGAUACUUAUAUAGAGCAUCCGGUUAGAGUUCUGACCUCUUAUACUUGUUACUUGUGAUUGGUUACUUAGGUACUUUUGGUGAGCAUCCGGUUCGAGGUCCGGCCUCCGUACUGUCAGAUUCUACUAAUUAGGGUUGAGGUUCUGGUUCGAUGUUCUUCGUUCAUGGGUUCUUUUAUGCAAUUCUCUUUAGUUAUAGUUAUUAUGUGUACUCGUCGGGCUUAUGGGGGUCCGUUCGGGUUUUUAUUUAACUUGCGCACGAGUGUACCUUCUGGGCUUAUGGGGGCCCAGUUAGGUGUAGUUAGCUUAUAGAUUACUUUAGUUAGUUCUUUGUACACUCGUGUGCAUUCCCUUGUUAGUUAGAUUUUAGUUCUUGACUUCGGUUUGUGUUAUUCCUUCUUUUCAUACUGCCUUUACUUUUCAAGUUCAGUCGGUCUAUGAUGCCUACUGGGUACCAGCUGUUUUGGUACUCAUGCUACGCUCUGCAUCUAUUUCGUGAAGCAGGUCCGGGCACUAGUAGCCAGCGUUGAUCGAGCUUGGAGCAGACUGAUCCGGAGACGGGAGUGAGCACACGACGUUUUGUACUAUUUCAGUCUCCAUCUGUAUAUAUAGACUUGUCUUUUACCUUUCGAGACAGUCCAGUCUCUGUUGUCCACUUUUGGGACUUGUACUCAUUUUGUUAGUAGCUCUGUACUAGUGACUUCCAGGUUCUGGGAGGGAUCUUUAUUUGUAUAUAUGUUUUUGGUUUGCUUCCGCCUGUUUAUAUUGUUAUUUGCCUACUCUUGUUUAGUUUCUACCCUCAGACUCAUUACUUGUUGUUCCGGGUUAUGGGUUGGCUUACCUACUGGCGGGUUAUAGUAGGUGCCAUCAUGACUUGAGAAAUCGGGUCGUGACACUAACAAUUUCUUUUGUUGUUUCACUUCAAGAAUCUCUAACAAUGCUUACAGAUUUUGCUCUUCAACUUCUAGAGUGCUACACUGCUCUGCUACUGCCUACUCGUGUUGUUUUCCACAACUUUAUUAGAUUUCAUUAUUAAUUUACUAUCAAAAUAAAGAUUUUCAGAUGAGAGUUGGGACGCUUCCCGCCGUGAGUCGCGAGCGAGCACUGAGCAUUGGCCAGUGAGAAGCGCUGCGGGCUGCGAGAACUCGGCGAGAGUCAGAGAUUAGAGUUGAGAGACGACGAACUGAGAGAUGAGAGAUGAGAGUUGACUGUUGAACAGACGUGAGGCGAGAGAUGAGAGAUUGGAGUUGCUGUCUGAGUUAGGGAUUUCAAAUUAUCAAUUUAGGGAUUUUCUAUUAGAAUUUGGGCCUAAUUUGAAUAUGGGUUGUGGGCUAUGGGCUGGCUGGGGCAUGGGCUGAACUAACUUAAUUAAGGGUGUAAGGAAUAUACAUAUAAUAUUUCGGUUUUUUCGGUUAGUCGAAUUUUUUUAGCUAAAAACAGAAAACCGAACCGAAAAACUGAAAUGUUGAAAUUUGAAACUGAAACCGACCGAAAUAACCGAAAAACCGAAACCGAAAUUUAAAAAAAAAUCGGUUCGGUCGGUUUUUUCGGUUUAAACCAUAUUAUGCUCAGCCCUACAUAUAGGUGCAUUUUAUCUUGGUGUCAAUUGAUAUUUAUGUCAUUCUACUUUGAAUGUGCACAAAUAAACGCUAAAAUUAUUUCAAAUUGAACUAAUUUCUUAUACCUCCUACGUAGCAUCCUUAAUACAUUUUGUCAUAUACGACACUUUUUUAUAAUUUAAAUAACAAAUUUCAAAUCGAUCGACCGCAAUUAUAUUAUUUGCAUUAUUGCACGGCACAAAAGAUAACCCACUCGAACUUCAACCACAAAUUUUGUUUUGUAUGAUCAGCCACCUGUGGCUCAAAAAUAAAUUCUAUAUAAAAUAAAUUCUAAUUAGAGGCCUAAAAAUAAAUUCUAAUUAGAGGCUUAAAAUUUAAAGUAAUUUCAUAUAUAAUUUUAUAUAAAAUUUAUUUUCUAGAUUUUUUUAAAAGUUGUUUAAUUAAUAUUAGGUAAGAUAUUAUCAAUUUCAAUAUUAACAAACAUAUUUUUUUUAUUGUGGCAAUCAUAUUGACAUAAUUCUAUAAGUAAUAAGUUGACAAUGUUUUUAUUAAAAUAAUAGAGUUAAAAUAAUAAAAUUUGAUGCAAGAAAUUGAUAAUUUGAUAGACCUCACUUUAAUAUGCUUGUUGCAUUGCAUGGAAACCUAAAUAGAAAUAAGAAAAUAUUUUACAAUACAUUUUGUUUGCAAGUUAGAUCCUUAUACUUACAAAUUUGGUAAUUGAACCUUUAAACUCACUUAAACACAAUAUUUUAAACUCUUUUUUCAUCCUACGUGUGUGUAGUACAACAAAUUAGGACUGAAAUUUAGUCUAAAUAUAUAAAUAAUGGGUGUUUUUAUAAAAUAUAAAACUUUGGGAUAGCUUUCAAAUACUAGAAUUUGACCCACAUACUAAUUUUUUCUAGUAUUUGAAAACAUGGGAUGUUUGCCAAGUAUAUUUGUCAAGUAAUAACAAGUUGUAUGGCCAAGCACCAUGAAAUUUUUUCACUUUUUUCAGAGUUGAACUUCAUGUCUAUAUGAUAGAUAAUGUGUCUUAUUAAAAUAUUAUUAGAAAAAACUCCGUAAGAUAAAUUCUAGUGAAGGAAAAAGAGUACGUACACAUGGCUAAUAAUAAGCAUUUUGAAUGCCUCAUUUUAAACCUUACAAAGAAAAUUCAUUGGGACAAAACAUUGUGAGGUAAAAGAGAGAGCAUCAUGAAAAUGAACAAUAUGUAUGUAUUGAACUCCUUUCAAGUUUCAAGGCAGGAUAUUGGGUGCAUAGAAUAAAAAGGAACUCUUUUCAAGGGGGUAUGAAGAUUCAUUUUUGACAGUUAUUAUGUGAAAAUCAGAUUUAAGAGAGCAAUCUUUACGACCAACCCAGAAAGGAAGUCACCGGUAAACUCAACUAGCAAUACUGGGAAGUAUUAUUCCAUGGCAUAUAUUGGUGCCUAAGAUAAGUGAUCUGCAUAAUAUGUAAGUACGUGAGUUCAGUCAUCGAGCGAAUAAAAGUGGAAACUCCUUAGGGAUGGGUAAAAAAAAGUACAAAUGAAGAGAGGAACUCCUAAUAAUAACUAGAGCAUGGAGUGGUCACUGCUAGCAGAGGUGAUUUCCUAUGAAUAGUGAUGCCAUUGUCUUCGGUCAUAUCCAAAUCCUCCGGUUUUAACCCUUCUGGUAAUGAAAAAUUGAACUUGUGCAUAAGCCUUGCUAAUGCUAGCUCAUUUAUCACAACAGCAAAAGCAGUUCCUGGGCAGCCCCUUCUGCCUGCUCCAAAUGGAAUCAACUCAAAGUUUAAUCCUUCGAAAUCAAUAUCACUAUUUAAGAAUCUCUCUGGUCGGUAGUCCUCUGGAUUUUCCCAUGAUAAAGGAUCUCUUCCGACUGUCCAAGCAUUGAUAAUGACUUGGGUUUUAGCAGGUAUUUGAUAGCCAAGUAAUUUUAUGUCUUCCGUUGAUUCUCGAGGAAUUAGUAGAGGAGCGGGUGGAUGAAGCCUAAGUGUCUCUUUGAUUACUGCUUUAAGAUAGUGCAUAUUUCCUAAGUCAUCCUCUGUUAUCUCUGCUUUCCCUUGUGCUAAUACUCGCACUUCUUUCUGUAAUGUUUCCAUGGCUCUUGGAUGUCUCAAAAGCUCUGCCAUUAUCCACUCUAGAGUUGUAUAUGUUGUAUCCGUACCAGCAGCAAAUAUAUCCUACGCAUUAAAAAGAAACAAACUAAGAUUGUGUAUGUGUAAAUGAUUAUGUGGAAGAAUAACAAUAUUCUAAGUCGCUAAACUUUUAACUAUGAAACAAUUAUGUUCAAAAUUAUACUAACAAAACACGCCAAAGAGGGAAUAAAUAGUGUGAGAGAAGCUGAUGUUACCAAGAGGAUAGCUUUCAAUGAAUCCCUUUGAAGAGGAAAGCCGGUUUCCUUUCCAUUCUGAAUUUCCAGCAAAACAUCCACGAAAUCUUUAGCUUCGCCGGUACUGUAUUCUUCUUUAUUGUUCCUAAUAAUGUGUUCCUCGAUCACACUCUCUAAAAAUGUAUUCAAUUUUUGAGCUACUUUCUCCACUUUGGUGUCUAAACCAGUGAUUUUAUUUACCCAUUCCAGCCAAGGAAUAAAAUCCCCAACGUUAAAAGUACCCAAAAGUUGAACAAAUUCUGCUAGGAUGGCCUUUGCAUCUAUUCCACUUUCCCUUUCAUUAUAUAUCCUCCCUAACGCCACUCUGCUAAUUAUGUUACCAGUCAUAAAACAAACAUGAUCUCUUAAAUCUAUCACUGAAUUUGAAGAAACACACUCUUGUGUGAUUUUUUCAAUCAUAUUCGAUGUUUCUUCUUCUCUAAUAUCACGGUAAGAUCGGACUCUUUUGUUGCUGAGAAGGUGAAGCAUGGCAAUGCUUUUAAUUUGUCUCCAGUAUUCACCAUAGGGACUAAAGCCCACGUCCUUAGAGCCGUAAAAGAGUCUAUCAGCCAUGCUAGAUUUAGGUCUGCUUGAGCAUACGAGAUCAUGAGUUUUCAUGAUGUCACGAGCAGCUUCGACAGAGGAAGCAACGAGCACAGGCUUACUGCCAAAGUGAAGUAGCAUGACUGGACCAUAUUUUUUGGAUAGUUUAUGGAGAGAACGGUGAGGAAG
rnacentral:lncRNA from 1 species